rnacentral:ncRNA from 2 species
AUGAUAUGCAGUUUCACAGGUGCCCCGCGGGUGGGUUUUGCACCCGGGGGAUAAUAGGGAAUCAGGUUAAACCUGAGCGGUCUCCGCCACUGUAUACGGGUAGCCGCCAUAGCCGGUACAUCCGGUUUAGCCACUCUACGGGGGAAGGCGUAUGUCGGCAAUGAUCCGUUAGCCAGGAAACCUGCCUGUGAUUGCCAGUAACC